GAGCGGAGCUUGACCAGCGACACCGCGUGAGGGAGUAAGGCCUUCGGGUUGUAAACCUCUUUUCUUGGGGAAGAAUUCUGACGGUACCCAAGGAAUAAGCCUCGGCCAACUACGUGCCAGCAGCCGCGGUAAUACGUAGGAGGCGAACGUUAUUCGGAUUUACUGGGCGUAAAGGGAGCGUAGGCGGUUCCUUAAGUCAGAUGUGAAAUCUUCUGAUUCAAUCAGAAGGCGUCAUUUGAUACUGAGGGACUUGAGAAUAGCAGAGGGAAAUGGAAUCCCCAGUGUAGCGGUGAAAUGCGUAGAUAUUGGGGAGAACACCAGUGGCGAAGGCGAUUUUCCAGGUUAUUUCUGACGCUGAGGCUCGAAAGCGUGGGGAGCGAAGCGGAUUAGAUACCCGCGUAGUCCACGCCCUAAACGGUGGACACUAGACAUGGGAGGUAUCGACCCUUUCUGUGUCGAAGCUAACGCCUUAAGUGUCCCGCCUGGGGAG
rnacentral:rRNA from 1 species